rnacentral:lncRNA from 1 species
GAGCGUUCGUUAUAUCAAAUGGCUUUACAUUAUUCUCACAAGGGCUAAAUCAAGUGCGAAGUGUUGUCUUCAGUAUAACCUCCUUCCUGGUUCUCUACUGACGAUAACCUGUCCUCAAGUCGAUCCUUGAAGACAUCAACACUCUUUAUAAUAAGUCACCCAAUUAAGUUGACAAUGGUUGAUGCAUGAUUGCAAUGAACC